CAGCCCAUCCAGUCCCGAAGGGCUGACUUGGGGUAGCCCGGCUCUACCUUCAGCUUCUGGUUGUUGAAUUUCCAGUAUUUGUUCCCCUUGUAGAAGUAAGUGAAGACUGCAGGGGUCAGCGAGAAGGUGGCAAGAGAGACAAGAGGUGGGGGCAGCAAUCCGGAGAAGACCCGAAGGCAAGAGCAGAAGGACAAUCUGCCCACCUCAAGCCCUGCUUGUCUCAGAAACUCUUCUCUAACUUCAAGUUGGCCAGCUCUCUCUUCUGAAAGAAGUGCAUAUGACCAUUUAAUAUUCAUCUAUUUGCCUUGGGAUGUUUAUUGUACUAUUGUUUUUAGCCUCAUUUAGCCAUCUCAUAUCCUUCUGGAAAGGGGCAGAGCACUGAAGUUUUAUUUAAUUUUUAAAAUGUCCAUGCUUUGUUUUCCCAUUUAGACUUGAAAUUCCUUGGAAUCAGGGACUAUAUCUCUGUAUUUCAGUUAUUAUGUACAGUGCAGGCACAUAAUAAAAAUUCCAUAACUAUCAGGUGACUUGCUUAAAAGAUGCAUUAUCUGAACUGAAGUAGUUUAUAAUAAAGUUGAAGAGAAAGGACACUUAGACACUUACUUUUUACAAAGACAGAAAGAGUGAUAACUCUGCCCAAAAGUUUGCAGGCAAGACAGAUAAGAGAUACGAUUUAUUAGGAAGGGGAGUCAAUAUAGUGUAUGGCCAGGUGCUUUACAAUGGUUAUUUCACUUUAUCAUUACAAGCACCAUGUGAGAUAGGUAUUCCUCUUUCAUAGAUGUGGAAACUGAUAUAUAAAAUUAAGUAACAUAUCCCAGACCACAAAGUUAUCAAGCAGAGAAGCCUGGAUUAAGGCUCUAUUCCAGAGUCUUGCCAAUAUUCCACACUACUUCAAGGAGUUUCUAUAGUAAAUAACGAGUAGAAAAAAUCUUCACUAUUUUCCUCGGCCACCAAGGAUUGGAUUAAGCAAGAUCAUACUCCUACAGAAUGCAAUAAAGUAUUAAUACUCAGGUCUCUGUGCUGUUUAAGGUGGGGGCUGGCCCUCUGUCCAGUUCUAGUCCUGGCUUGCUAUUACCUAGCUGUGUAAUCACAGACAGUUCACUUCUGUGGGCCCCAAUUUUCCCACCUGUAAACUCGAGUUCCAUAUGGAGAAUGGGGAACGGAUUCAAGUUUUCCAAGAUCCCUCCCUUUAGUACUAAUAUCUAUUUUCUUUUCUUUUUUAAGGGAAGAGACUUUUCUGAGGGGGUCCACCAUCCUCAAUCCUUACCCUUCAGAAGGGUGGUUCUUCCUAACUUUCAAAAAACCGUCCCCCUUUUAGAAACGUAAAAGUCUUGUCACUCCUUCCCUGGAGGUGCCCCCAGUUACAAUUAUCUUCUGAUUAUCCCCACAAGCAAAGGAGAUGCUUGUCUAGCUUUAGUUUCCAUAGGCGUAAAUUUACAAAAUAAAUAGGGCUUCUUCCUCCCCAGCUCCGAAGUUUUAUACGCUGUCCACUCAGACGCACCCCUCUCCGCCCCGCCUUGACACCACCCAGCUCCAUUCAGGGGCGUUCCCUCGGGAUGAAACCCUCCUAGUAGAGUUAACUGUCAGGUCACCUCUCACCCGCGUAAGACCAGUCUGGGAGCUCCGUAAGAGGCCCGUAGCCGGAGGGGUUGGCAGCCAGACCCUGCCUGGGUGGGGAAAAACAAUCCGGUGAAGACAGCUUCUAGCUGAAAACUGCCCAGCUUCUAGCUCCCCUUUUCCCCCCGAGGCUGGCACUCACUGGAGUCGCCACUGGCCGCCGGCCAGGGCCGCCGCGUUGCAGUGCAGCCUUCGGACACCUGCUGGGAAAACAGGACAGAGGGUUGGGAGAGAGGCCAUGGGCCACCUCAGGGGGCCUGGGCGCGGCGCCGCGGGUCCCCGAGCCCACCGACCCUACACCUACUUACUAGAGAGGAGACAACCUAAUACAGCCAUGCCAGGGACGAUAAGGCGGAAGUGCACGUGACCUCGUGAGACGCGCGACGCUGCGGGGGGAGCCGGAAGCCGCCAUCUUGAAUCUGGUUUUCAACCAUGGGCACCGCCAUCUUGGGUCAUCGUACGGCGGAGAGCGACAGAACUGCGAUUUGGGUGUUUCAGGCAAGAACGGUCGUUUUGCCUGCGACCUGGGUGUUUUAGGCAAGAACGGUCGUUUUGCCUGUGUAUCCUCAGUUGUGGUUACCUUCUUUGGCAGUGGUGUCCUCCCAGGUUGAACUGUUUUGAGCUGUUCCACGAUCUCUGCGCAGCGUUCUUUAGUCCUUUAAAAUUUAGCCUUUUAUUUCAGGAGUAACAUCCGCAUAACCUCCGUUCUGUCUUCUCCCGCAUCACUGUAACUUUUUUGUUCCAGCCUAAGAGUCAAAUCUAGAGUGAAUAAAAAAUUUUGGAUUUCAGUU